UACGGAGGGUGCAAGCGUUAUCCGGAUUCACUGGGUUUAAAGGGUGCGUAGGUGGGCAAGUAAGUCAGUGGUGAAAUCUCCGGGCUUAACCCGGAAACUGCCAUUGAUACUAUUUGUCUUGAAUACUGUGGAGGUCAGCGGAAUAUGUCAUGUAGCGGUGAAAUGCUUAGAUAUGACAUAGAACACCAAUUGCGAAGGCAGCUCACUACGCGAAUAUUGACACUGAGGCACGA
rnacentral:rRNA from 1 species